UUAGCGGAUACCCUCACUACUUUUAUAAAGUACGAAAAAUUAGCGUUCCGCCCUCGUGUAAAUACCGUACCCGCAACCGAUUAGUAUGACGAACUGCUGUAAAUCCUUACCCGUCUGGUGGGAUCAUUAAUCAUACGGGAGUGAAGCUACGAUCGUUGGACCCGUAAUCUUCGCAAUCGCUAAUACCUGAAAUUGCCCCGUCAAUAUUCUUUUACAAUCUAAAUAAAUCGAUACUGACGCAAUGAGCGCACUUACAACCCUAAUAUAUAUGCAGUAGCUUGCAAUUGAAAUGUAGCGUGUAUUACAAUACUCUUGUCUAUGCAAUAUACAAUCAACGUCUUAUAAUAAACAAAUGGAAUCCUUAUCAUUUUCAAUAAAUCAUACUUCCAUUGUUCAAUAAUAAAUACAAAUUUCUUGCAUUUAAUGGUUAAAAGUUAAUAGCAAUGAGGGCUUCCGCAAGUUGAAAUGGAAAUGAAGGCAUUAAUUCUUGGGAUAACUGAAUUGAGAAGCCUUACUUAAUGAGUUAAAAAAUAUAAUAACAAUAAGUAACAAAAAUUCCUUCCAUUCAUCGGCAUCAUUAUAUGCAUCAUUUUAGCAUAAAAAAGUUAAUGAUUGUGUGUUGCAUCCCAUGUUGGUCGAGUUUACAGCAAUAAUUAACAAGACAUAAUUACUAGUAGCUCGAUUCCAGAAACAUUCAGAUAAAACUGUUAUUCUACUAGAAUACUAGAUAAAAAGGUAGUUGAAUUUUCAAGGCUUAUUGUUUUGUCAACCUUUAGUCUAGGAAAGCUCUUACAAGAAAGAUGUUGACUAUUCUCAGUUCAAUGUAAUGCGCAAAUAGUUACAUGGACUUGAAUUGGUUUGUUUAGUUAAUACGUUGAUGGUUUAUAGUUGAACAAACAAUACGAGGGAUCGAACUUUUUCGCAUAUGUCAUACUCAUAGCAUAAACAUAUAUAUGUCCUUAACAAUCAGAAAUUAACAGCUAACACCAAAAAAGUGAUUUUCAACAAUAUUCUUUCAAAUGUUAAACUCUUUUUUUAUUAUUCGCUACCAGUUGAAAGGAACUCAAGAUCUGCAUUUUUGUUGGAAAAAAUGCUUAAUUUCAACCUCAGGAAGUAUUUGGUGAAUAGGUGAAAAUAAAGAAGAAUCUUUAUUUCAUACAAUUGCAAAAAGUUCCUAAAUUUAUUCCUAUCUUCAAUACGAGCGCUACAGUCACUAAACCUACUAUAUAUCCUUAAUAGUUAUGCCUCAAUAUUCUAAGGUAGAUAUUGUUUAAAGUACUUUAUUAAGGCACUGCGUGAUUUGUACAGUUAAUUAAUUUUUGAACAAUGAUUACACUUAGAGUUUAGGUAUGACGAAAGGAGCUUACGCCGUCUCAAGUAUAUAAACAAAAUGCCUUCUUGUGCCGGCACAUUUCUAGUGCUUGAUAGCCAAAGAAUUAAAUAAAAUGCCAGUUAGUGUAUCAGAUUCUUUUGUAUUUCGUAAUAUCUUUGGAGAUGCUGAAA